rnacentral:rRNA from 1 species
CCUACGGGAGGCUGCAGUGGGGAAUCUUCCGCAAUGGACGAAAGUCUGACGGAGCAACGCCGCGUGAGUGAUGACGGCCUUCGGGUUGUAAAGCUCUGUUAAUCGGGACGAAUGGUUCUUGUGCGAAUAGUGCGAGGAUUUGACGGUACCGGAAUAGAAAGCCACGGCUAACUACGUGCCAGCAGCCGCGGUAAUACGUAGGUGGCAAGCGUUGUCCGGAAUUAUUGGGCGUAAAGCGCGCGCAGGCGGAUUGGUCAGUCUGUCUUAAAAGUUCGGGGCUUAACCCCGUGAUGGGAUGGAAACUGCCAAUCUAGAGUAUCGGAGAGGAAAGUGGAAUUCCUAGUGUAGCGGUGAAAUGCGUAGAUAUUAGGAAGAACACCAGUGGCGAAGGCGACUUUCUGGACGAAAACUGACGCUGAGGCGCGAAAGCCAGGGGAGCGAACGGGAUUAGAUACCCGUGUAGU